GACAGGUGGCCGAGUGGCUAAAGGCAACAGACUGUAAAUCUGUCGAGCUCCGCUCUACGAAGGUUCGAAUCCUUCCCUGUCC
rnacentral:tRNA from 1 species